GAGGGCAAGUCUGGUGCCAGCAGCCGCGGUAAUUCCAGCUCCAAUAGCGUAUAUUAAAAUUGUUGCAGUUAAAAAGCUCGUAGUUGGAUUUCAGCUGCUCCGCACUAUCUUCCCGUUAUGGAGGUUUUGCGCUGUGGCUUAUUUCGGACUGUGUUAUGCACUGUUCGGAUGUUUACUUUGAGAAAAUUAGAGUGCUCAAAGCAGGCUUUUGGCUUGAAUAGUUUAGCAUGGAAUAAUAAAGUAGGACUCUGGUUCUAUUUUGUUGGUUUUAGGUACCAAAGUAAUGGUUAAUAGGAGCAGUUGGGGGUAUUCGUAUUUAACUGUCAGAGGUGAAAUUCUUAGAUUUGUUAAAGACGAACUACUGCGAAAGCAUUUGCCAAGGAUGUUUUCAUUAAUCAAGAACGAAAGUUAGGGGAUCGAAGACGAUCAGAUACCGUCGUAGUCCUAACCAUAAACUAUGCCGACUAGAGAUUGGAGGUCGUCAGUUUUUACGACUCCUUCAGCACCUUGAGAG
rnacentral:rRNA from 1 species